rnacentral:rRNA from 1 species
UACGUAGGGUGCGAGCGUUAAUCGGAAUUACUGGGCGUAAAGCGUGCGCAGGCUGUUUUGUAAGUCAGAUGUGAAAUCCCCGAGCUCAACUUGGGAACUGCGUUUGAAACUACAAGGCUAGAAUAGGUCAGAGGGGGGUAGAAUUCCACGUGUAGCAGUGAAAUGCGUAGAGAUGUGGAGGAAUAUCAAUGGCGAAGGCAGCCCCCUGGGAUCAUAUUGACGCUCAUGCACGAAAGCGUGGGGAGCAAACAGG